UAUCUUCCUUCAUAUUUUUCAUAGUCCUUGUAAGGGAUUAUGAAAGUUGAGAAAGAAAAAUAGCAAAAGUAAUUCAGAUCAAAAGGAUAUUAUUAUCACUUGUAUAAAAAUAUUAUUGAUAAUCAAUCAUGGCAAUGGACGAAGAAGAAGCUAGGUAGUUUCCUUUCAGCAAGAGCACACAAUAUGUUUUACCACGACACGGAAUAAAGAGUGAAAGGAGGCUGUUCUUGAAAAAAAAAAUCAAAUAUGAUUGGUUGAGAGAGAGAAAAGGCGCGCGUAAUUCAUUCGACGGCGCUUUUUCCGUUUGACGUUGACGUUUCCUCUCAUCGGGUUUAUUUACUUGUUGUGCGAAUGUCUUAAUGACUGGGACUAGGUUUUAAUAUAUGAUCCAUGUGUUUAAUGGAGUGUUAAUCGAUCCUUAUAAACUAUUCUUUUUAUUUGUGAUUCCGUGUUUUACAUAUUAUCCUAAAUCGAAAUAUGUUGACUACUCAUCCCCAUCCACAUCAUCACCCACACCAUCAUCAUUUGCAUCAUCACGGAGGAGGAGGAGAUCAUGUCAAUUAUAAUGGUAAUAUUCAGACUGGAGGCAAACUCGAUGACUCUGGAGGUUUGGCUCUCAUGGAGGAUCAGCUUAAAAAGCUACAAUCUCUUCAUCCAUCUGAUGUCGGAGGAGUCUCUCCCUCCUCAUCCUCGGAUAAUCUUGGACAAUCUUCAUUGAUCCUCAACAACAAUAAUAGCUCUAGUCACAAUAAUCUCGAAUCCGAAGGAUUAAAUACACAUUUGCAAGGUUUAGGCUCUAUGAGCCCUGUUUCUAUUUGCAAUGAUGAUAAAAAUGGGAAGCAAAAACGACAUAGAACGAGAUUUUCGCCAUCGCAGCUCAAUGAACUUGAAAGAAGCUUUUCAAAAACGCAUUAUCCAGAUAUUUUCAUGAGAGAAGAGCUUGCCAUGAGGAUAGGUUUGACGGAAUCCCGUGUACAGGUGUGGUUUCAAAAUAGGAGGGCCAAAUGGAAAAAGCAACGGAAAAGUAAUUCCAUGCUCCAUUCACCUAGUCCUCUUCUUCCUUCUCACUCUCUCCCACCUCUUGUUCCCUCAUUUACUCCUUCAUGGGGAGGACCUCCUUCAGGGGGUGGGAGUGUUGGCAGCUACGCAGGUUUAAGUCAAUUGAGUCAAAAUUUCGGUGGGAAUGGAAAUAGUAGCAGGGGCAAUGUGAAUAAUGGGGGGAGUAGCAUUCAUGCCAAUGGUUCCUCAACUAGCGGCGGCAGCUUCUCAUCUCCACCCAAUUCAGGAAUGGUCAUUGGUGGAGGAUCCUCAUCUUCAAGUGAAAUGAAUCAUCCAUCAUCAACAGCCUCCGGCGAAUCUUCUUCUUCCUCCUCCUCUACUUACCUUCAUCAACAUCAUCUACCUGGUGGCGCCGGCGGUGGUCCCUUAUCACAGCACCCCCAUUCUCAACAGCAAAUCUCCACUCCCAACAUUCCUCCUCCACAACCUCAUCAUCAUCACCACCAUCACUACGGAUCAUUUUUCUCCGGGGAGAGAAACGAGCAUUCCAAUACUUCUUCCUCUAUGAUGGAUAAUAAAGGGAAUUUAAUUGAUUGCGAAAUAUCAGAGUCACCACAGAGUCAUCACAAUGGAGCUACUCCACCACCUAAUCACAAUAUGAACGACCUAUCGCAUUUAAUGAACGGCAGUGGUGGUGAUACAUUGCAAUGCAGUGGUGAUGGAAGCUCUCCAUCUGAUAAUGCUGGAGUAACAACAGGAGGCGGAAGAGAUGACAUGAUGUGGAGGGGAACGUCAAUCGCUCAUUUACGAAGAAAAGCUUUUGAACAAACUGUCUCUGUCUUUAGAUAGAUGAAUAAAUCCAACUUACCUACUUGAUUUUAUGUAUAUCAUCAUCCUUUUACUUGUUUUCAUAGAGGAGUAGAGGAAGAUAUAAUUAUGAAUGCUACUGCUACAUAAAUGUGUGUUACCUACAACGCUCUUCAUUCGUAUAUACAGUAUACAAUAUAUUCUAUAUACGUGUAUAUUUAGACAUACCUAUAUAUGUAUAAGAUUUUAAUAAUUAUAAUUAUGCAUAUUAAAUAUUUAUUAUUUAAUUUAUUUAAUACUAAAUGUUUUAUUCGUCAUUUUACUUUUCACGUACAUUGUACAUCGUAUAUGAUUAUGCAGAGAAGGUACCUAGUAAUAAAAUUUAAAUAUUUAUUAUGAA
rnacentral:misc_RNA from 1 species